rnacentral:rRNA from 1 species
AACGGCUACCACAUCCAAGGAAGGCAGCAGGCACGCAAAUUACCCACUCCCGGCACGGGGAGGUAGUGACAAAAAAUAACGAUACGGGACUCUUAUGAGGCCCCGUAAUCGGAAUGAGUACACUUUAAAUCCUUUAACAAGGAUCCAUUGAAGGGCAAGUCUGGUGCCAGCAGCCGCGGUAAUUCCAGCUUCAAUAGCGUAUNNNNNNNNNNNNAUUGGUUCUGCGUGCUACGCUGUCGGUUCGCCGCCUGCCGGUGUAACUGGCAUGCCGUGGCAUGUCCUGCCGGUGGCGUGCGGGAGCCUUGUCAGGUGACGACCCGGGUUCGCUCGGUGCCGUAGGCCGGAGGUCCACCCCGUGCGCCUACUCUAUCCUACCUAGGUGCUCUUCACCGAGUGUCGAGGUAGGCCGGUACGUUUACUUUGAACAAAUUAGAGUGCUCAAAGCAGGCUGAAAUCUCUGCCUGAAUAGUGGUGCAUGGAAUAAUAAAACAGGACCUUGGUUCUAUUUUGUUGGUUCUUAGGAACACAAGGUAAUGAUCAAUACGGACAGGCGGGGGCAUUCGUAUUGCGACGUUAGACUUGGCAAAUGCUUUCGCNNNNNNNNNNUUGGACCGUCGCAAGACGCACAAGAGCGAAAGCAUUUGCCAAGUAUGUCUUGAUUGAUCAAGAACGAAAGUUAGAGGUUCGAAGGCGAUCAGAUACCGCCCUAGUUCUAACCAUAAACGAUGCCAGCCAGCGAUCCGCCGAUGUUCCUCCGAUGACUCGGCGGGGAGCUUCUUCCCGGGAAACCAAAGCUUUUGGGUUCCGGGGGAAGUAUGGUUGCAA